rnacentral:rRNA from 1 species
GUGCCAGCCGCCGCGGUAAUACGGAGGGUGCAAGCGUUAAUCGGAAUUACUGGGCGUAAAGCGCGCGUAGGUGGUUUGAUAAGCGAGAUGUGAAAGCCCCGGGCUUAACCUGGGAACGGCAUUUCGAACUGUCAGGCUAGAGUGUGGUAGAGGGUAGUGGAAUUUCCUGUGUAGCGGUGAAAUGCGUAGAUAUAGGAAGGAACACCAGUGGCGAAGGCGGCUACCUGGACCAACACUGACACUGAGGUGCGAAAGCGUGGGGAGCAAACAGGAUUAGAUACCCCAGUAGUCC